rnacentral:rRNA from 1 species
CCUACGGGGGGCUGCAGUGGGGAAUAUUGGACAAUGGGGGGAACCCUGAUCCAGCCAUGCCGCGUGUGUGAAGAAGGCCCUCGGGUUGUAAAGCACUUUCAGUGAGGAAGAACGCCUGGUGGUUAAUACCCAUCAGGAAAGACAUCACUCACAGAAGAAGCACCGGCUAACUCCGUGCCGGCAGCCGCGGUAAUACGGAGGGUGCGAGCGUUAAUCGGAAUUACUGGGCGUAAAGCGCGCGUAGGUGGCUUGAUAAGCCGGUUGUGAAAGCCCCGGGCUCAACCUGGGAACGGCAUCCGGAACUGUGAAGCUAGAGUGCAGGAGAGGAAGGUAGAAUUCCCGGUGUAGCGGUGAAAUGCGUAGAGAUCGGGAGGAAUACCAGUGGCGAAGGCGGCCUUCUGGACUGACACUGACACUGAGGUGCGAAAGCGUGGGUAGCAAACAGGAUUAGAUACCCUUGUAGUC